rnacentral:rRNA from 1 species
UACGGGGGGGGCAAGCGUUGUUCGGAAUUACUGGGCGUAAAGGGCUCGUAGGCGGCCAUCUAAGUCAGACGUGAAAUCCCUCGGCUUAACCGGGGAACUGCGUCUGAUACUGGAUGGCUUGAGUUUGGGAGAGGGAUGCGGAAUUCCAGGUGUAGCGGUGAAAUGCGUAGAUAUCUGGAGGAACACCGGUGGCGAAGGCGGCAUCCUGGACCAACACUGACGCUGAGGAGCGAAAGCCAGGGGAGCAAACGGG